rnacentral:rRNA from 1 species
ACGCUCGACACCUACUGGAGGCAGCAGUAGGGAAUCUUCCACAAUGGACGCAAGUCUGAUGGAGCAACGCCGCGUGAGUGAAGAAGGUUUUCGGAUCGUAAAGCUCUGUUGUUGGUGAAGAAGGAUAGAGGUAGUAACUGGCCUUUAUUUGACGGUAAUCAACCAGAAAGUCACGGCUAACUACGUGCCGGCAGCCGCGGUAAUCUGAGGCGGGCGUGGCGAAGGC